rnacentral:lncRNA from 1 species
AUAAUUCACUGCAGCGUUUAGCAGAUUUACUGGAAAAUCACAAUGUUUUUCUUUUUUCCCUCUGAUCCCAAAAAAUCAGAAACAACAUCUGCUGGAAAGAGGAAUUAUUUAUCACUGUAGACUCUUGCCAACUUUGAACCCUGAGGAAAUCCACUAAAUGGAGAAAGUGAAUCAAUCCGGGAUUACAUUUUAGUAAUCCCCCAAAGGAAAGAAGAGAGGAGAAACACUAUAAAGAAACGAAAUGAAGAAAGUAAACUCACUACAGAUUCAAGAUUUGUGGGCACUGGAGUCAUUGGAGGUGUCUUUCGUACUCUUAUAUGUUUACAUGGUUUCAUGGUUAAAAAGAAAAAGGAUUUCUAAUUACCCACUGUGAAGGGCUGAGUUCACCAGGUUCUGGACUAUGCCUCGUAUUUACAAGGAGGAUUUCAUUUAGUCCUAGGAACACGGCUCGUUUUACAGAUGAGAAAAGGUACGAGAGGGUGAGUGAAAAGCUCUAGGCUGCACAGCCUGAGGAUAGCAGAGUCAGGAUUCAAUCCAGAGUAGAAUU